rnacentral:misc_RNA from 1 species
GAGAAAGGGAUACAUUUCAAGAGCACAAAAUAAUCUCUCAUCCAAAACAGUACCAUUAAAGUGUAAUAGAAAAGCACUAUUUAAAACCAUUGAAAGAUGAAUUUCCUAUUUACUAUUUUCUUCUCUUCCUAAGCUAUUUUGAACUUUCCUUUUAUGAACCAAAUUAAGUAUAUGGGCAUACGACCAUAAAGCACAUUUUCUAUUAAUAACAAUACACACAGCCCUAAGAGAGCUUCCAAGUUAUUAUUGUGGCUUACAACCGAGUGUCGUAUAAGGGUGCUAAAUUAUGGCAAAAUACAUCACAGCAAAUAUUAAGUUUGACCAUCUAUGAUCCAUUGAAGUACUAGUUCAUAAAGCAUAUGAAUUAACAUCAAGCAACAGUCACAGUUUCUGCAGGCUUUGUUUCGGGCUCUGCAGGUGCCUCUGCUUCCCAGAAGGUAGUCUUCUUCCCGGUCUUUGAAACAGUCUGAAGAACUGCCUCUGGCUGCACGUUUCCUUUCACUGUAACCUUUUGCUCCUUCAAAUCAAUGUCAUAAGAUUCCACACCUAAAUAUGGUUGAGAAACAACAGAAUUAUUACCAGAUUAAUACAAAACAGAAUUCCUGCCAGAUUUCUCAAUUGCCAUUGAACCUAACAAAUGUCAUAAGAAAAAACUUGGUUUGUGCGCAAUUAUGAGAACUACCUGCAGGUGCUAGUUCUACCUAUAUAUACAGAUCCAAGAUUUUAUAUCUUAACUCUACGUCUUCAAAGUCUACAUAUACCACAAUCCACAUAUAUUAUUAGGGUUUCCCACAAAAAGAGAGAGACGAAGUUCAAAGGAAAAAAUUGGCAACCCAGCAAAGCCUAUCUCAAAUUCUAGGCAAGAAAAAGAAAGGUUAACUGCAAAUAUGAAUUUAGGUAAUCAGGUAUAAAUAUAAUCAACAAAAGUGCAAAAUAAAUUUAAAAAGAAUUGAUGGCAGAGAGGGAAAAAAGUUGACUAACCUUCCAUUUUUCCCAAAACCCUCUUCACAGCCCCAACACAACCUUCACAUGACAUACCAACCUUAAGCACAACAGUCUGAGACAUGGUUAUGGGUGUGCAAUACAAGUGAAGAAUAGAAGAAAUCUUGAUUUGUUUUCCCCCCUGAUUGAUUCUUGUGCGUGUUUGUGUUAGAGCUUGCAAGUUUGCUGGCUGAGGAAUUAUAUAGGCUUUUACAAUAAUGACUAUUCGUUGGAUCGGAUCGAGUCGGGUCGGUAGCUAUGUUUAGGCUCAC